rnacentral:piRNA from 1 species
CUCUUGUGCCCCAUUUCCCUAAUUUCUUGGC